UAGGGAAUCUUCCACAAUGGACGCAAGUCUGAUGGAGCAACGCCGCGUGAGUGAAGAAGGCUUUCGGGUCGUAAAACUCUGUUAUUGAGGAAGAACGUGCGUGACAGUAACUGGUCAUGCAGUGACGGUAUUCAAUCAGAAAGUCACGGCUAACUACGUGCCAGCAGCCGCGGUAAUACGUAGGUGGCAAGCGUUGUCCGGAUUUAUUGGGCGUAAAGCGAGUGCAGGCGGUCUUUUAAGUCUGAUGUGAAAGCCUUCGGCUUAACCGAAGAAGGGCAUCGGAAACUGGGAGACUUGAGUGCAGAAGAGGAGAGUGGAACUCCAUGUGUAGCGGUGAAAUGCGUAGAUAUAUGGAAGAACACCAGUGGCGAAGGCGGCUCUCUGGUCUGUAACUGACGCUGAGGCUCGAAAGCGUGGGUAGCAAACAGGAU
rnacentral:rRNA from 1 species